rnacentral:rRNA from 1 species
GAUGAACGCUGGCGGCGUGCCUAAUACAUGCAAGUCGAGCGAACAGACGAGGAGCUUGCUCCUCGGACGUUAGCGGCGGACGGGUGAGUAACACGUGGAUAACCUACCUAUCAUACUGGGAUAACUUCGGGAAACCGGAGCUAAUACCGGAUAAUAUAUUGAACCGCAGGGUUCAAUAGUGAAAGACGGUUUUGCUGUCACUUAUAGAUGGAUCCGCGCCGCAUUAGCUAGUUGGUAGGGUAACGGCUUACCAAGGCAACGAUGCGUAGCCGACCUGUGAGGGUGAUCGGCCACACGGGAGCUGGGACGCGGUCAAGGCGCCUACGGGAGGCAGCAGUAGGGUAUCUUCCGCAAUGGUCGAGAGCUUGACGGAGCAACGCCGCGUGAGUGAUGAAGGUCUUCGGAUCGUAAAACUCUGUUAUGAGUGAAGAACAAAUUUGUAAGUAACUGUGCACGUCUUGACGGUACCUAAUCAGAAAGCCACGGCUAACUACGUG